UGCUUCCUACGGGGGGCAGCAGUGGGGAAUAUUGGGCAAUGGGCGCAAGCCUGACCCAGCAACGCCGCGUGAAGGAAGAAGGCUUUCGGGUUGUAAACUUCUUUUCUCAGGGACGAAGAAAGUGACGGUACCUGAGGAAUAAGCCACGGCUAACUACGUGCCAGCAGCCGCGGUAAUACGUAGGUGGCAAGCGUUAUCCGGAUUUAUUGGGUGUAAAGGGCGUGUAGGCGAGAGCGCAAGUCAGAUUUGAAGACU
rnacentral:rRNA from 1 species